GACUGGUUGGCUCAGUCAGUAGAGCAUGUGACUCUUGAUCUUGGGGUCAUGAGUUUGAGCCCCAUAUUAGGUU
rnacentral:tRNA from 1 species